rnacentral:rRNA from 1 species
UACGUAGGGUGCGAGCGUUAAUCGGAAUUACUGGGCGUAAAGCGUGCGCAGGCGGCUUUGCAAGACAGAUGUGAAAUCCCCGGGCUCAACCUGGGAACUGCAUUUGUGACUGCAAGGCUAGAGUACGGCAGAGGGGGAUGGAAUUCCGCGUGUAGCAGUGAAAUGCGUAGAUAUGCGGAGGAACACCAAUGGCGAAGGCAAUCCCCUGGGCAUGUACUGAAGCUCAUGCACGAAAGCGUGGGGAGCAAACAGG